UCCACUGCCCAUACCACCCUGAACAUGCCAGAUCUCAUGAUUUCGGAUGCUAAGUAGAGUCAGGCCUGGUUCGUCCUUGGACGGGAGGGUAAUGGGA
ensembl:rRNA 5S_rRNA 5S ribosomal RNA